rnacentral:rRNA from 1 species
GAUGAACGCUGGCGGCGUGCUUAACACAUGCAAGUCGAACGAGAAGUGAAGACGGAACCCUUCGGGCGGAAGGCUUUAUUUCGAGUGGCGGACGGGUGAGUAACGCGUGGGUAACCUGCCUCAUACAGGGGGAUAACAGUUGGAAACGACUGUUAAUACCGCAUAAGACCACAGCACCGCAUGGUGCGGGGGUAAAAACUCCGGUGGUAUGAGAUGGACCCGCGUUCGAUUAGCCAGUUGGCGGGGUAACGGCCCACCAAAGCGACGAUCGAUAGCCGAUCUGAGAGGAUGACCGGCCACAUUGGGACUGAGACACGGCCCAAACUCCUACGGGAGGCAGCAGUGGGGAAUAUUGCACAAUGGGGGAAACCCUGAUGCAGCGACGCCGCGUGAGUGAAGAAGUAUUUCGGUAUGUAAAGCUCCAUCAGCAGGGAAGAAAAUGACGGUACCUGAGUAAGAAGCCCCGGCUAACUACGU